GACGAACCGUCCUAACGUUGUUCGGAUUCACUGGGCUUAAAGGGCGCGUAGGCGGCUGCUCAAGUCGGGGGUGAAAUCUUUCAGCUCAACUGGAAAAUAGCCUCCGAUACUGGGCGGCUCGAGGAAGAUAGGGGCACGCGGAACUAAUGGUGGAGCGGUGAAAUGCGUAGAUAUCAUUAGGAACGCCGGUGGCGAAAGCGGCGUGCUGGAUCUUCUCUGACGCUGAGGCGCGAAAGCCAGGGGAGAAAACGGG
rnacentral:rRNA from 1 species